rnacentral:rRNA from 1 species
AUGGUACCACUGAUGUGCAACAGUAAUCUACCACGAUCGGACCGUCACCAUCUACCCAGACAUUGUACCGACGCUGUGAUCGUUGACACUGAUGAAGACCCAAUGAUAUCUUCAAAAGUGCCAGGUACCGAGUUGGUGUUUCUAGCUUGGAGAAGCAACAUCAACUUGGGAUACAGAUUCACCAGCAUAUGUACAUGCAUCUCAUCGGGGGAGAGCUCUUGCAUGGAUGACCAUAAUGUCACUCUGGAUGCUUCUCCACAAGAUUUGAUUCUGGAGGCUGACACUGGUGUUGCAGGGAUGUUUUGA